CAUUUAGUAUUUUUUUUUUUUUAAUGUCAAAGAACAAAAAUGCUAUUUUUCCCCAUGUGAAAACACUUUCGUGUCAAACUGUAUAUAGUAUGAGUUCUUUAUCAACCCAGACAAGUGUCAACGUUUUUGCAGACUUUUUUUUCACUAUAUAUGAAGACAUUUACAAAAAAAAAAAUAAAUUUACGUAUACUUUAUAAGGGGGCGAAAAAAAAGGCUUGGCACAAUUUAAGAGAAAAAAAAAAAAUCCGAAAUUCAAGAAAUAUAUAAGUAAUAUAAUACACAAAAAAAAUUUAUGCCGCCAAAAUCGACAAAUCGUCCAUAGUGCAUUGGCGAGUAAGAGCCUCAGUCCAAAGUUUAGGAAGAAUAAUUCGUGAUAGCGUGUUUUGGAUUGGGUAAGAUUAAGAUUGACGUAUUGGAUCUAAGGACGUCGGGUCAACCGUAAUCUAUUUUCUUAUCAACACUUUAGGUACUUUACAUACAUACAAUGUAUGUAUGUAUGUAGUACAUAUGCACAAUUAUUGCAAGAUAGAUCGAUGGAAUUUUCUCGAUGUUGAUAAAUCGGUACAGACGCCAAGCCACAACACAUAGAUACCUAUUUACCACAUUAUUUAAUUGUUGGCGGUUCCUUCACGGAAAACGGAAAAUUUUUUGAUCCCAUCUGGAAACACAUCAAAUAUGCGGAAACACAUCAAAUAUGCAAGAGCAUUUAAAGCGUGCACAUCCUCUCAAAAUCGUUGAACAAAAAUCGCAGAGAAUUGAUAAAUUUAUCGAGCGAACGGAUUUAUAUGAACCCUCGUCAUCCAGAAAGGCGUACCUAAACGGCCAGGAAAUGGUUGCAAGCGACUUGCACCUCAAAAUACAAGCCCACUGGAUUAUUGGAAGAUUACCUCCAUUCAAUUCGAAUCAUUUGCAAAAUGUGCAAAAAAAAAUACUGAUAAUUCCUGCUAGCUCCACGGAGUCUGAACGUAUUUUCAGCAAGGCAGGAGAAAUUACUGCGCACAAUCGGAGCAGUCUAAACCCAAAAGCAGUCGAUAUGCUAAUUUUCUUAAAGCACAAUAAUUGGCUACAUAAUGGAUCUCACGAUAAUUAAUUUCAGUUUUAAGCUCAAGGCUUUUGUAAAAGAUAGUCAAGCUUUGUUUUUUGAAUUUUAAGUUGAAUUUUAAGAC